UGUUAGUGAAGAAGUCGAUAAAGUGGAGCUUUUGUACACCAAAUUCGUAUCCUUGGUUAAGUCUGAUCCUGUGAUUCAUACUUUGCUUCCACUGUCACCAAAGGGUGAAAUCUGUGAUGUAAAUGGUGUUUGUGUUGAUGCUGCUGAGGAUGAGUUCUUCAGAUUGACAACCAGGGAAGGGAAACUGACGGUGGAGAGAGAAGUUAUGAGGACUCAGACAGCUGAUUUCUCUCCCAUUUUGCAGUUUGAGCAGGACCCAGUUCAGAUUCUUGAUGCUUUGUUGCCUCUUUAUCUCAACAGCCAGGUUCUGAGGGCUUUGCAGGAAUCACUAGCCAGUGAGCUUGCAGCUAGGAUGAGUGCCAUGAGCAAUGCUACUGAUAAUGCCCAGGAACUGAAAAAGACCUUGUCUAUCGUCUACAACCGGCAGCGUCAAGCGAAAAUCACCGGAGAGAUAUUGGAGAUUGUUGCUGGUGCCAAUG
rnacentral:lncRNA from 1 species